rnacentral:rRNA from 1 species
GACGAACGCUGGCGGCGUGCCUAAUACAUGCAAGUCGAGCGGAGCGGAGGAGGGGUGCGUAAUGCCUAGGACUCUGCCUGGUAGUGGGGGAUAAGGUUCGGAAAUGGGAACUAAUACCGAAUCCUAUCAGCUGAGGAUAGGUCGGAUUAGCUAGUUGGUGUGGUAAAGGCCUACCAAGGCGACGAUCCGUAACUGGUCUGAGAGGAUGAUCAGUCACACUGGAACUUAGACACGGUCCAGACUCCUACGGUAGGCAUCAGUGGGGAAUAUUGGACAAUGGGCGAAAGCCUGAUCCAGCCAUGCCGCGUGUGUGAAGAAGGUCUUCGGAUUGUAAAGCACUUUAAGUUGGGAGGCGUUACCAACAGAAUAAGCACCGGCUAACUCCGUGCCAGCAGCCGCGGUAAUAC